rnacentral:lncRNA from 1 species
GGACCAGCGACUGGCCAGCAUGCCAGGCGAUGGACUUGCUCAAAUGGCCUCUGCUCCUGCCACCCUGCCUUAGACCACUGCCACAUAAGCCAACACCUGACUUGCCCCAAAUCAUCUCUGCUUUUACGUGACUGAUCUUUGGAUCCAAGUGGACUUUUCUGUUUGAGGAAACAUUCCACUGGAUGUGCUUGAUACUCUGACUGCACAGUGACACCACCUGGGGAGACUCCACAGGGUAACACCGGAUGGCAGAGCUCCUGUGGCCCUUUGUUUUUCUGUCUGAGGAAUGGACAUAGAGUGGUUUCCUUUGGACAACGAUAAGAAGACAGAGAGUUAGGAGCGGGAGUGAAUGAAGAACUUUCCCCGAUUGCUGCUCCUCUCCACUUAUUGCAUCCUGUCGUCCACGGUUUCAGAUGACGUCCCGCGUGUCAGAGCCGCUGGAAGCAAUAAGCAGGGGAAUAACAACAGACGGGCCAGGCGAGAAAGAUUGAAAAAGGAGAAGCAGGCAGCAAAGAAAGUGGGAAAGUGCAUGUGAGAAAUAGAAAAAAGCAGAGGUGGAGGAAAAAGUGCCCUGGGUAUGGGGGACCCACCGGCAAGUCCUUAUAAAUCCGCUGUAACUGUCUGGACAGUUUCCAACAAACAGCCGGGCUGCAGAGCCUGCGACGCUGGAG